rnacentral:rRNA from 1 species
CCGCGUGUGUGAUGAAGGUCUUCGGGUCGUAAAGCUCUGUUGUAAAAGGAAGAACAAGCACACGGGUAAUAUUCGUGUGCCCUGACGGUACUUUUUCAGAAAGCCCCGGCUAACUCCGUGCCAGCAGCCGCGGUAAUACGGAGGGGGCAAACGUUGUUCGGAAUCACUGGGCGUAAAGCGCAUGUAGGCGGCUUGUCGUGUCAGAUGUGAAAGCCCACGGCUCAACCGUGGAAGUGCAUUUGAAACUGGCAGGAUAGAAUACGGGAGAGUGUUGUAGAAUACCAGGUGUAGAGGUGAAAUUCGUAGAUAUCUGGUAGAAUACCGGUGGCGAAGGCGGCAACCUGGACCGAUAUUGACGCUGAGAUGCGAAAGCGUGGGGAGCGAACAGGAUUAGAUACCCUGGUAGUCCACGCCGUAGACGAUGAAUACUAGGUGCAGCGGGUAUCGACCCCUGCUGUGCCGUAGCUAACGCGUUAAGUAUUCCGCCUGGGGAGUACGGCCGCAAGGCUAAAACUCAAAGAAAUUGACGGGGGCCCGCACAAGCGGUGGAGCAUGUGGUUUAAUUCGAUGCAACGCGCAGAACCUUACCUGGGCUUGAAAUCCUUUGACAACCAUAGAGAUAUGGCUUUCUCUCUUUGAGAGACAAAGUGACAGGUGCUGCAUGGCUGUCGUCAGCUCGUGUCGUGAGAUGUUGGGUUAAGUCCCGUAACGAGCGCAACCCUUGUCGUUAGUUGCCAGCAUUAAGUUGGGCACUCUAGCGAGACUGCCGGUGUCAAACCGGAGGAAGGUGGGGAUGACGUCAAGUCCUCAUGGCCCUUAUGUC